GGAUUGUGGCUCAGUGAUAGAGCACUUGCCUCACAUGCAUGAGGCACUGGGUUCGAUCCUUAGCACCA
rnacentral:tRNA from 1 species